CGGGGUGUAGUAUACCGGCAGUACACCUGCUUUGGGAGCAGGUAGACCGAGUUCAAUUCUCGGCACCCCGA
rnacentral:tRNA from 1 species